rnacentral:rRNA from 1 species
GAUAAACGCAGGCGGCGUGCAUAACACAUGCAAGUCGAACGAUGAAACUUAGCUGAUUUCUUCGGAAUGAAAUUAAGUGGAUUAGUGGCGAACGGGUGAGUAACACGUGAGUAACCUGCCUUACACAAGGGGAUAGCCUUUGGAAACGAAGAAUAAUACCCUAUGACGUCAAAAUAUCGCAUGAUAUAGUGACCAAAGAUUUAUCGGUGUAAGAUGGACUUGCGUCUGAUUAGCUAGUUGGUGAGAUAAAAGCCCACCAAGGCGACGAUCAGUAGCCGGCUUGAGAGAGUGUACGGCCACAUUGGGACUGAGACACGGCCCAAACUCCUACGGGAGGCAGCAGUGGGGAAUUUUGCACAAUGGGGGAAACCCUGAUGCAGCGACGCCGCGUGAUUUAGAAGGCCUUCGGGUUGUAAAAAUCUUUUUUAUGGGAUGAAAAUGACAGUACCAUAAGAAUAAGGUCCGGCUAAAUACGUGCCAGCAGCCGCGGUAAUACGUAUGGACCGAGCGUUGUCCGGAAUCAUUGGGCGUAAAGGGUACGUAGGCGGCCUAGUAAGUUAGAAGUGAAAUAAUAUAGCUCAACUAUAUAAAGCUUUUAAAACUGUUAGGCUUGAGAGAUGAAAGGGAAAGUGGAAUUCCUAGUGUAGCGGUGAAAUGCGCAGAUAUUAGGAAGAAUACCGGUGGCGAAGGCGACUUUCUGGUCAUCAUCUGACGCUGAGGUACGAAAGCGUGGGUAGCAAACAGG